rnacentral:rRNA from 1 species
AGUGAACGCUGGCGGUAGGCCUAACACAUGCAAGUCGAACGGAUGCAGAGAAAUUGCUUGUGGUUACGGGGGGCGAGGGGCGGGCGAGGGCUAGAUACCUCGCUGGUAACGUGUUCUUGGGUGUUGACAUAGGGGAUAUUACGCCAAAAGUGCUGAGGGCGAAAGUGGGAAAUCAUGGGAACUUCUGCUCUCGCAUGAGUAUAUGACGGGUUGUCGGAUUAGCUGGUUGGAGGGGUAAAGGCCCACCAAGGCGACGAUCCGUAGCUGGGCUGAGAGGAUGAUCAGUCACACUGGAACUGAGACACGGUCCAGACUCCUACGGGAGGCAGCAGUGGGGAAUAUUGGACAAUGGGCGCAAGCCUGAUCCAGCCAUACCGCGUGUGUGAAGAAGGCCUUCGGGUUGUAAAGCCCUUUUGUUGGGAAAGAAAAGCAGCAGGUUAAUACCCCGCUGUUCUGACGUUACCCAAAGAAUAAGCACCGGCUAACUUCGUG